rnacentral:snRNA from 1 species
AUCGCUUCUUGGCCUUUUGGCUAAGAUCAAGUGUAGUAUCUGUUCUUAGUUUAAAGAGGGUCCACGAUACACUACUCCAUGGAGUAAUGCAGGAAUCACU